CUACGGGGUCUGCGGGAAACCCAUCCAUCAGGCGCGUCUUGACAAACAGCACCUGGCACCUGGCGCUGUGUCCAGGCGGGUAUAAGAGGCGGCGAAAAUGGAAGUCCCAAACAUUCGCUGCUGACCCACGAGAUGGAGCGACGCACCCUGCUGGUUAUGCUACUGGUGUGCAGCGCCUUGCUGGCCACCACCGCCGAGGCCUCGCCGGUGCCUGAGCCUGAGCCUGAGCCUGAGCCCCGGCGCGGUUCCUACACAAGACCAAGACCCCGACCCCGACCCUACUUCCCGCCACGCUGCGUGUGUGUCAAGGCUCCCUGUUACUGCUGACCUCCUCCACCGUUACCUGACCUUCGCCAUGCCCGCACGAACACCGCCAACGGACCACGGACCACGGACACGGAAAACUCUCACUCUUAUUCUUUCAUAGUAUUUACUCCUCAAUAAAGGCAUGCAAAUUUCCUGU